UGAUUUUCAAAAAGUUGUUUA
rnacentral:piRNA from 1 species